rnacentral:rRNA from 1 species
AUUGAACGCUGGCGGCAUGCUUUACACAUGCAAGUCGAACGGUAACAGGCCGCAAGGUGCUGACGAGUGGCGAACGGGUGAGUAAUGCAUCGGAACGUGCCCAGUCGUGGGGGAUAACGCAGCGAAAGCUGCGCUAAUACCGCAUACGAUCUAUGGAUGAAAGCGGGGGACCGUAAGGCCUCGCGCGAUUGGAGCGGCCGAUGUCAGAUUAGGUAGUUGGUGGGGUAAAGGCUCACCAAGCCAACGAUCUGUAGCUGGUCUGAGAGGACGACCAGCCACACUGGGACUGAGACACGGCCCAGACUCCUACGGGAGGCAGCAGUGGGGAAUUUUGGACAAUGGGCGCAAGCCUGAUCCAGCAAUGCCGCGCGCAGGAAGAAGGCCUUCGGGUUGUAAACUGCUUUUGUACGGAACGAAACGGCUCUCUCUAAUACAGGGGGCUAAUGACGGUACCGUAAGAAUAAGCACCGGCUAACUACGUGCCAGCAGCCGCCGCCGUAA